rnacentral:misc_RNA from 1 species
GAUGAAGAACGCAGCGAAAUGCGAUAAGUAAUGUGAAUUGCAGAAUUCAGUGAAUCAUCGAAUCUUUGAACGCACCUUGCACCCUUUGGCAUUCCGAAGGGUAUGCUCGUUUGAGUGUCAUUGUACUCUCACACUCUCCGAUCCUAUGGAUUCGGGGAGCGGUGGACUUGGGUGUUGCUGCCUUUCCUUGUGGCUCACCUCAAAUGUGUCAGUGCACCUCUUGGUUGGACAUAGUACGGCGUGAUAAGUGUCUUCGCCGGCACCUCGCAAGAGGGUGGCCGAUCGGGAGCUCUGUGCUUUCAAACCGUCUUCGGACAAUUUCUGACAACUUGACCUCAAAUCGAGUAGGACUACCCGCUGAACUUAAGCAUAUCAAAAGCGGAGGA